AACGCAUAUUGCGCCCGAGGCCUCGGCCAAGGGCAUGUCUGCCUCAGCGUCGGCUUCACCCUCGCCUACGAUCGGAGUCUGUUCCGACAGAGUUUCCGAUUGCUAGUCGGAGCUGACCGUCUCGCUACUGAUCGGAGUUUCCGAUCGAACAGGUAGCGGGUCGGUUGAAGCGUAGCGGCUCCGGCAAGAUCCCGAUCGAUUUAUUCGGGGGCGCUGGCUUGGUAGGUAGCUUCGGCUGCAUGCCGCCAGACAGCCUGGGACUUGCAUGUGACGCCUCUUAACCACUCUUAACCAUUCGACCUGAGCUCAGGCAAGACCACCCGCUGAACUUAA
rnacentral:misc_RNA from 1 species